AGAGUUUGAUUCUGGCUCAGGAUUAACGCUGGCGGCAUGCCUAAUACAUGCAAAUCGAGCGAGUGUAGCAAUACACGAGCGGUGAACGGGUGAGUAACACGUACCCAAUAUACCAUAAUGUGGGGGAUACCUAAAAGAAAUUUUAGCUAAUACCGCAUAGGAUAUACUUAUGGCAUCAGAAUAUAUUUAAAGGUACAGCAAUGUAUCGCUUUAUGAUUGGGGUGCGUCUUAUCAGAUAGUUGGUGAUGUAACGGACCACCAAGUCAAUGACGGGUAUCUGUGCUGAGAGGCAAGACAGACACAAUGGGACUGAGACACGGCCCAUACUCCUACGGGAGGCAGCAGUAGGGAAUUUUUCACAAUGGGGGAAACCCUGAUGAAGCAAUGCCGCGUGAACAAUGAAGGUUUUCGGAUUGUAAAGUUCUUUUAUAUGGGAAGAACGGCAGGUGGAGGCAAUGCCAUCUGUUCGACGGUACCAUAUGAAUAAGUAACGACUAACUUAUGUGCCAGCAGUCGCGGUAAUACAUAGGUUGCAAGCGUUAUCCGGAUUUACUGGGCGUAAAGCAAGCGCAGGUGGACUAACAAGUCUGGUGUUAAAUGCGAUAGCUUAACUAUCGUAUGCAUGGGAAACUGUUAGUCUAGAGUGCAGUAAGGUGUUUUGGAACUCCAUGUGGAGCGGUGGAAUGCGUAGAUAUAUGGAAGAACACCAGUGGUGAAAACGAAAACAUUGGCUGUAACUGACACUUAGGCUUGAAAGCGUGGGGAGCAAAUAGGAUUAGAUACCCUAGUAGUCCACGCCGUAAACGAUGGAUAUUAAAUAUUGGUUCUUGUUGAAUCAGUAUUGUAGCUAACGCGAUAAAUAUCCCGCCUGGGUAGUACACUCGCAAGAGUGAAACUCAAACGGAAUUGACGGGGACCCGCACAAGUGGUGGGAUUAUGUUGUUUAAUUCGACGGUACACGUGGAACCUUACCUAGUCUUGACAUCCCUGGCAAAGCUAUAGAAAUAUAGUGGAGGUUAACCGGGUGACAGGUGGUGCAUGGCUGUCGUCAGCUCGUGUCGUGAGAUGUUGGGUUAAGUCCCGCAACGAGCGCAACCCUUUUUGAUAGUUAAUUUAUCUAUCGAUACUGCCGAUGUAAAUCGGAGGAAGGUGGGGAUGACGUCAAGUCAUCAUGCCCUUUAUGACUAGGGCUACAAACGUAAUACAAUGGGUGGUACAAACAGUAGCGAACCCGCAAGGGAGAGCAAAUCUGAAAAAGCCAUUCGUAGUACGGAUUGGGGGCUGAAAUUCGCCCCCAUGAAGCUGGAAUCACUAGUAAUCGCAAAUCAGACAUGUUGCGGUGAAUACGUUCUCGGGUCUUGUACACACCGCCCGUCAAACUAUGAGAGUCGGUAAUACCUGAAACUGCAUUCCUAACCCGCAAGGGAAGGGUGUAACAAGGGUAGGAUUGAUGAUUGGAGUUAAGUCGUAACAAGGUAGCC
rnacentral:rRNA from 1 species